GCCCCCAGCGGCUCCCUGUCCACAUUCCUGCAGCUCCAGGGGGAGGCUGGCCGGCCUGAAGUUAUCCAUCCUGGCCCGAAGGACUGUUCGGGUCGACUUCUCCCGCCUCCCCGUUUUCGUAGACCAGGAAAUGGAGAUGCAGACAGGGGCCGGGCUCUGUCUAAAUAAACUGGAGCUCAAGUGGGGGCAGGACGAACCCUGAAAACAGCCACCACUAUGGAGCCGUUGGACCUGCAAAGAGCCGUCUGGCCGCUGCCUUUCAUCUAAGACUCAGUCCAGCCCUGCAAGGUGGAGCAACUGAAACCCAGAGAAGGGAACUGAGGUAUCCACAGUCACAAACCAGGGGGUGGAGAAGGGGCCUGACCUGGCACUUUAGUGUCCCCAGGCGAGUGUCCUGACAUCUUGACAUCAACACAGUCCCUCAUUCAUGUAAGGAGGCUUUCAGGACUAAGCUUCGGGGGCCCUCUGGCCCUCUGGAACCCUCCGUAGAAAGGGCAGCCUGGAGCCUACUUCGGUAAGCCCUCAAAUCUUUAGAGACAGUCCUGUGGGAAGGUGCCGUUUCCCGGGGGAGCUGAGGCUCUUUUCCAGUUACACCGUGGCGUGGCGGGAGGCGAAGCUUCAAUGCCCGGUUCUGGCGACCAAGGCCAGGCAGUGAGCGGGGUCUCGGAGCCCAGUGGUGCAGUGAGCUUCUCCAUUCCGGGGCUGUUUUCUCACCGGCGGGGGAGAGCCUGGGCUCGUAAAAUGCACUUAUUAGUCGAAAUGAUCUAAAUCUAAUCUAAUUCUCCCGUGGAAACGAUGUAAUGAUGUUCUUGAGCACAGACCUGAUGUUCAACCUUCUCUAAAAUGACCACAAACAUCUUUGUUAAUCACAUUUAAACGGCAUACCUGUGCUCCAGGCAGUGGCAAGCUUUCAGAAGUGCUUCUAAAUCAAUUAAACGGGGCGACACAGUGAGCACUCACAUAAAAUAUCGUUUAAUAUGAAAUGAUAGGCACAAAAGGUCCUCAUCAAAGUUCUUGUUAAUUCUGGCCCUGUUUUCU